UCUGUAGAUAGCCCCUCCCCCCACAG
rnacentral:piRNA from 1 species